GAUGAACGCUGGCGGCGUGCCUAAUACAUGCAAGUCGAACGAAACUUCUUUAUCACCGAGUGCUUGCACUCACCGAUAAAGAGUUGAGUGGCGAACGGGUGAGUAACACGUGGGCAACCUGCCCAAAAGAGGGGGAUAACACUUGGAAACAGGUGCUAAUACCGCAUAACCAUAGUUACCGCAUGGUAACUAUGUAAAAGGUGGCUAUACUACCGCUUUUGGAUGGGCCCGCGGCGCAUUAGCUAGUUGGUAGGGUAAAGGCUUACCAAGGCAAUGAUGCGUAGCCGAAGUGAGAGGUUGAUAGGCCACAUUGGGACUGAGACAGGGCCCAAAGUCCUACGGGAGGCAGCAGUAGGGAAUCUGCCGCAAUGGGCGAAAGCCUGAUGGAGCAACGCCGCGUGGGUGAAGAAGGUCUUCGGAUCGUAAAACCCUGUUGUGAGAGAAGAAAGUGUGUGAGAGUAACUGUUCACGUUUCGACGGUAUCUAACCAGAAAGCCACGGCUAACUACGUG
rnacentral:rRNA from 1 species